AUUGAACGCUGGCGGAAUGCUUUACACAUGCAAGUCGAGCGGCAGCACGAGGGCAACCCCGGUGGCGAGCGGCGAACGGGUGAGUAAUACAUCGGAACAUGCCCAGUCGUGGGGGAUAACACUUCGAAAGAAGUGCUAAUACCGCAUACGUCCUGAGGGGGAAAGCGGGGGAUCGCAAGACCUCGCGCGAUUGGAGUGGCCGAUGUCAGAUUAGCUAGUUGGUGGGGUAAAGGCCUACCAAGGCAACGAUCUGUAGCUGGUCUGAGAGGAUGAUCAGCCACACUGGGACUGAGACACGGCCCAGACUCCUACGGGAGGCAGCAGUGGGGAAUUUUGGACAAUGGGGGCAACCCCGAUCCAGCCAUUCCGCGUGAGUGAAGAAGGCCUUCGGGUUGUAAAGCUCUUUCGGCAGGAACGAAACGGUGAGCUCUAACAUAGCUUGCUAAUGACGGUACCUGAAGAAGAAGCACCGGCUAACUACGUG
rnacentral:rRNA from 1 species